AGAGGGUGCGAGCGUUGUCCGGAAUCACUGGGCGUAAAGGGCGCGUAGGUGGCUUGCCAAGCGUGUGGUGAAAGCCCGGAGCUCAACUCCGGGUCUGCCAUGCGAACUGGCAGGCUUGAGCACGGUAGAGGCCAAUGGAAUUCCGGGUGUAGCGGUGGAAUGCGUAGAGAUCCGGAAGAACACCGGUGGCGAAGGCGGUUGGCUGGGCCGUAGCUGACACUGAGGCGCGACAGCGUGGGGAGCAAACAGGAUUAGAUACCCUGGUAGUCCACGCCGUAAACGAUGGGCACUAGGUCCUUGGGGGAGCGACCCCGUGAGGGCCGGCGCUAACGCAUUAAGUGCCCCGCCUGGGGAGUACGGCCGCAAGGCUG
rnacentral:rRNA from 1 species